ensembl:lncRNA
AGAAAAUAGAUUGAAUGUUCUUUUGUUAUGACUGAUUUCUGGUCUAGUUACAGUUCACCAGCUUUAAUAAAAUCAUGUCUACUUGCAAUUUAUGUGUAGUUGACCGGAAAAUUAAAGCAGCGAUCACUUGGACUAUUCCUAGCACCCCCCCCUCACAGUGGUACAUCCCUUCAGGUAGCCAUUCACAAGUCUUGUACAGUAGAGCGGGACAUUACAUUUACUCUCAGCGGAAUUCACUGGAGAAGGCAUAUAAGUUCAUGCACUGCACUGGCCUGCACCACGAUUAUUAUAAGGUGGAGUAAUGCACGAAUGGAUAAAAAAGAGUGAGCUGUUGAGGAGCAAAUGGAGAUCCGUGUCCAGGGGAGUGAUGCUAUUGCGAGUGUGAAAGGUUGUCCAGGAAGUAACUAAGAAGACAUGAACAGAGAGGUGGUGAUCCUCAGAGGACCGAUGAAGUAGAGCAGCCAGCACCCCAAGUAGAGCAGGCACUGUGGAAAAAUAGUUGUGACUCAACUAGACCAUUACAAAGUAUGGCCUGGAGGAUUUUCAUCUCAAGGUGCAAGAACAUUCUUAAUGACUGUACACGGCGGCUGCUGAUGGACGAUGUUGGGCCAGAUGUGCUACAGUUAGCGUUAAGGAGGUUGGAGACUAUGCAGAGAAGCCUUCAGUGGGCAAGAGGAAGACUGAUCAAUGUAACUGCAGCAGAUCAACUUCUGCGUGACUUGGCUGAAUUGAUUCAGGAGGUCGAACUGUCUACUCAGCAUGGCCAACAAGGCUGUUUUGGAUACCAGGCACCAGUGGUUUUCAACAGAGGUAGAGGUAGAUCCCUUUACCUUAUCAC